GGCUAGUUGAGGGAAAAGAGAAGGUACCAGACGUUGACGGAGGAGCCAUAAAACCAUCUUUUGUGAUCAUAGAGCUAGAAGCUUGUGAGAAAGGAGCGUGAGUCUCUGGUACUCGAACUUGAGUAUUGAACUAAGAAAUCAGAUGUUGUAUCUCUUGUGGUGUGAAAUUCUGUAAAUUGAGAGUAUUGCCUCCACUCGUGACUGAAGGAGUUGCAGAA
rnacentral:lncRNA from 1 species